ACUGCGAAUGGCUCAUUAAAUCAGUUAUCGUUUAUUUGAUAGUACCUUACUACAUGGAUACCUGUGGUAAUUCUAGAGCUAAUACAUGCUGAAAACCUCGACUUCGGAAGGGGUGUAUUUAUUAGAUAAAAAACCAAUGCCCUUCGGGGCUCCUUGGUGAAUCAUAAUAACUUAACGAAUCGCAUGGCCUUGCGCCGGCGAUGGUUCAUUCAAAUUUCUGCCCUAUCAACUUUCGAUGGUAGGAUAGUGGCCUACCAUGGUGGCAACGGGUAACGGGGAAUUAGGGUUCGAUUCCGGAGAGGGAGCCUGAGAAACGGCUACCACAUCCAAGGAAGGCAGCAGGCGCGCAAAUUACCCAAUCCCGACACGGGGAGGUAGUGACAAUAAAUACUGAUACGGGGCUCUUUUGGGUCUCGUAAUUGGAAUGAGUACAAUCUAAAUCCCUUAACGAGGAACAAUUGGAGGGCAAGUCUGGUGCCAGCAGCCGCGGUAAUUCCAGCUCCAAUAGCGUAUAUUAAAGUUGUUGCAGUUAAAAAGCUCGUAGUUGAACCUUGGGUUCGGCCGGCCGGUCCGCCUCACCGCGAGUACUGUCCGGCCGUUCCUUUCCUUCUGGGGAAUCCCAUGGCCUUCACUGGCUGUGGGGGGAACCAGGACUUUUACUGUGAAAAAAUUAGAGUGUUCAAAG
rnacentral:rRNA from 1 species